rnacentral:rRNA from 1 species
UACGGAGGGUGCGAGCGUUGUCCGGAAUCAUUGGGCGUAAAGGGCGCGUAGGUGGCCCGGUCAGUCUUUGGUGAAAGCGCGGGGCUCAACCCUGCGUCGGCCAGGGAUACUGCCGCGGCUCGAGUACUGUAGAGGCAGGCGGAAUUCCGGGUGUAGCGGUGGAAUGCGUAGAGAUCCGGAAGAACACCGGUGGCGAAGGCGGGUCUCUGGGCAGUAACUGACGCUGAGGAGCGAAAGCAUGGGGAGCGAACAGG